GAUGAACGCUAGCGGCAGGCUUAAUACAUGCAAGUCGAGGGGCGGCAUGAAUGUAGCAAUACAUUUGAUGGCGACCGGCAAACGGGUGCGGAACACGUACACAACCUUCCUAUAAGUGGGGAAUAGCCCAGAGAAAUUUGGAUUAAUACCCCGUAACAUAAUGAUGUGGCAUCACAUUAUUAUUAUAGCUACGGCGCUUAUUGAUGGGUGUGCGGCUGAUUAGAUAGUUGGCGGGGUAACGGCCCACCAAGUCUACGAUCAGUAGCUGAUGUGAGAUCAUGAUCAGCCACACGGGCACUGAGACACGGGCCCGACUCCUACGGGAGGCAGCAGUAAGGAAUAUUGGUCAAUGGACGCAAGUUUGAACCAGCCAUGCCGCGUGAAGGAUUAAGGUCCUCUGGAUUGUAAACUUCUUUUAUCUGGGACGAAAAAAGGCUAUUCUUAGUCACUUGACGGUACCAGAUGAAUAAGCACCGGCUAACUCCGUGCCAGCCGCCGCCGUAAAAC
rnacentral:rRNA from 1 species